rnacentral:tRNA from 1 species
CAGAGUGUAGUAUAAUAUAAAACACCUCACUUACACCGAGGAGUUGUUCUUGAAAAUAGAAUCACCCUGA